CUGAUCCAGCCUACAGAGCAAGCUUCCACGCCACUGGCCUGUGACACACGUUUUCCCCCUGCGGAUGACAUACCCAGAGAGCACGCUGCAUUUCAAAGGAGGGGUUGUUAAUUAAUAGCGUCUUGUGAUUAUGCGCAUGCCAGGGUGGCGCCCAUGGAGUAUCUCCGUCCCUUCCUGCUGCGGUCUGAUUGUGAAGGGCCAAAGUGCGCGCGGCACGGGAGACGCGCAAGCCACUCUGCCACGGUUAUUUUUAUGGGAAAGCUGUUGCCGGAGACUUUGGAUUUGAUCAAAGGCAUGGAGGGCAGUGUGGGGGACUCACUCUUUUGCCCCAGUCCUUCCACCCCACCCUUUUCGUGGUGUAAUGCUCAGGGGACGUGCUUUUCCUCCUGGGGCUGGACAAGGGCCACUGAACUGGAGGAGAAUCCCAAUAAGAGAGUGAUCCUGCUCCGAGAGGGUCCCAACUGCAGGAACUGGGUUGUUUGCCUCUGCUGGGAGGGGCAGCACUCUUUUGGAAGUGCUCCUGCAGCUGCUUCCGCUCUGGAUCUCAGCAACAGGGAAUGCCAACCACCCGCUCCGGCCGGUGCACCAGACCCACCUAUUCCAGGAUCAGGCCUGCUGAUCCAUGCAUGGCCACCUCCUUCAUGUGCCCCGUGGGGCAGUUUAGCGGCCAAGGCUUGUGCAGGGAACAGCUGCUGGCAAAGCGAGGCCGUUGUCCUUCAAAGCCCGGCACAGCUCGGGACCCGGACGGCUGGCAGGCGGCCUUGCCCAGCUGGGCCAGGGUCAUCCAGGGAAGCCUCGCUGGUCAUUCCAAAUGUACAGAACCAUCGCUGCGGGAUGCCCCUGUGUGGGUUUUCUGGGUUGCAGCACCCAACUCUGUGGGAAAAAACCUUCUGCAGUUUGGGGGCCAGAAAAGCAGACAUCUUUCAACCCCCUCUUGAAAAGGCACCUUAAUUAACACAAUGUAUUUUAUUGUUUUAAGCCUUUUAGAAGUGCUCUCGGGUUAGCCACAGUGCCAUGUUCUUACAGAAAGGCAGUGUAUAAGUCUAAAACUUCAUCUAAGUGGGGGUACCCACAAACCUCCUUCUCAGUGCCCCUUUUUUCUGCUCAGCUCCUUGCCUCUCUUGAUAUUUUAUUUUAUUAUUUCAUUUCAUUUCAUUUUUCAUUUUUAUGGUUUUAAGCAGUAACUCAUACUUUUAACUGGGAGGCCAACCGAUGGCAAAGCAAAACAGGGCCCUCUGAGUUCACCUGGAUUUAAAAGAGUGUUUUCAAAGGUAUGAACUUGGCUUCGUAAUUAGGCUCUUGGGAAAGGGAGGCUUCCUGUAGGCACACUGGUUUGCCCCCUGGGUGCUUUGUGCCCUCCGGCAGGCAGCCUUCCUAUGGCUGGGCAAGCCCUGCCCCACUGCAGCCAUUCUCUGAUGGCACUCUCAAAAUUGCAGAUGUGCCCAGCGGCCCAAACGUUUGCCGUUUGCUCUCCAAGCCCGGCUGCUAUCGGAGAACCUCGGUGGGAGCCACUGAGGUGGUUUUUGCUCCACCCUUGAAAUUUAGCCCCUCCGACACUUUUCAAGCUGCAUUGAGUUCAGGAGGGCCACUGACUGUCAGCUUGGACUACACCUAGCAGUACCUCUGUUGGGUUUUUCCCAUCCCCUAACUGGUCUGACCGAAGAUGCCAGAUAUUAAACACAGGGCUAUCCACAGAUAAUGUGGAUGUUCUACCAUGGAAAAUCGAUUGUAAGGAAGAUGAGGUUUUAAUGUAGGUUUUAUUCACUGGAUUUAUUGGAUGCUCUGCUUUAUUUUUAUCUGUUUUUAUUGUAAGACCAUCCUGAGACAGUUGUAGUUGGACAGUAUAGAAAAGUGCUAGCUAAAUAAAUAAAUAAAGGUGGGCUCACUAGUGAGAGGUGGGGGCAAAAAAAAGAGAACGUGGCCUUCUCUGCAUAGAUUCGAAGCUGGUUCCUGCCAAUUCCCCUGUACAGCCAUUCUUGAUUGAAUGCCCUGUUCUUUGCUUUUCGUCUGGGAACUCCUGCCUUUCUUGUGUGCAUGAAGUUCUUUAACUGAAUAGUUGAAUUGUAGGACACUUGCAGGAACAGGCCAGCAGUCCAUCGAGCCUGGCGCCCAGUUCCCCUCAGGGUGCUCCCAGGAGGAAGAAAGAUCCCAGGGGAUGGUCUGAACAUUUCUACCAGUUGGUCUUUAUUGUGAUUUUCACCAAAACAAACAAACAAAAUAUCCAGAUGAAAAUGAGGAAGGAAAAAGAAGACACCUGGAUAAAUUAUACAGAUAUAUCAGCUUCAGCAAAGGGUUGCAGCAUGCAAAAAAUCACAACAGCUAUUGCAGAAGCUGAAAUCGCUUGGAACCUGCCCGCAAUUUCUCCAUGCGCACAGGAGUCACAGAACAUGAAAGACGAGUGGCAUCAUGUUCUCUCCCAGCAAGUAGAAUUUGUGCUAACCUGUUUAUGACAGGCAUGUUGAGAAAAAGGUGAACGUCCCAGUGAGAUUUUGGCAAACUCUCUUACGUGGCAGGGAGGUCAAAAUGCAAUUGCCGCCAGGAAAGAGGACAUGGCUAACAGAAUUGCUCCUCCUGCAGAGAUGAAUUUCUAAUUUUCAAGUUGAUUUGGUCUAUACGGUAAAGAUGGUAAAAUGAUCAGAGCAGAAUAGUAUGUGUUUUUCUCAUGGGAGAGUCUUCUGGGAAUAGACCUUUCACAGUGGUGGCCUCUUCCAGCUCCUGUGUGAGCAAAGGAAAUCACAGAGGCGACGGUAAACAUAAGUAACAAGAAAUUUCUUGGUCUAGGAGGGAUUCCCACUAAGCAGUGUGAAACCUCCUUUAGCCUUCCAGUUUCAUAACAACUGCAUUUUUAUACCUCUGUGUCUGCACCAGGCUCCCUCUCUGGGUGGUUAAAUUAUGCUUUUAUUAUGUGGUUUACAAGCCUGGCAAGCAUUACAUUUUUUGUGCUUUUAGCCCAUCUCAUUAAUGACUCUUGGUAUUAAAAUAUUAACUGCAGUCCUGGCUGAGACCACAAAAGGUUAUUACUCUGCCUGAUUGUGUGAGAUUCAUUAAACAUAGGCAGGGGGUUAAUAAUCUCAGAUUAGUUAUUUAACAGGGUUAAAUGCAGACAGAAAAUAUGAGGUUGCUGUUGUUUCCUUGUCAUUUAGAAAAAUUCAUUGGAAAAUUAUAUAUUUAUUUAUUUAU